rnacentral:rRNA from 1 species
AUUGAACGCUGGCGGCAGGCCUAACACAUGCAAGUCGAACGGUAACAGGAAGCAGCUUGCUGCUUUGCUGACGAGUGGCGGACGGGUGAGUAAUGUCUGGGAAACUGCCUGAUGGAGGGGGAUAACUACUGGAAACGGUAGCUAAUACCGCAUAACGUCGCAAGACCAAAGAGGGGGACCUUCGGGCCUCUUGCCAUCGGAUGUGCCCAGAUGGGAUUAGCUUGUUGGUGGGGUAACGGCUCACCAAGGCGACGAUCCCUAGCUGGUCUGAGAGGAUGACCAGCCACACUGGAACUGAGACACGGUCCAGACUCCUACGGGAGGCAGCAGUGGGGAAUAUUGCACAAUGGGCGCAAGCCUGAUGCAGCCAUGCCGCGUGUAUGAAGAAGGCCUUCGGGUUGUAAAGUACUUUCAUCGGGGAGGAAGGGAGUAAAGUUAAUACCUUUACUCAUUGACGUUACCCGCAGAAGAAGCACCGGCUAACUCCGUA